UGCUUGAAUUAAGCAAAAAAAUCUGCCAAUGGAACAAGUGACUUAUCACCUAAGAUAAGUCACCUACUUAUUCUAUCUACUACCUCGACCAGUCUUUCAAGCUUUCAGCUUUUUGUGCCGCUAGAUCUUGACGCUAAACAUUCUACAUGGUAAGUUAGAAUUAACUAACAUGAGUUUUGACUGAAAAAUUAUCCUUUAAAAUUUUACCAGAUGUUAAUUUUUGAUGAUGACAAUUUUUGAAGUUAUUCCUGAUGAUUAUUCCAAAUCAGCGGCCACGAGACUGCCAACAGUCAGAAAAUAGAAGUAAAAGUAUUCCACUUAUUACAGCUUUUGUGACAUUUUUCAGAGUGCUUUUUCAGCAGCCA